GGACGAACGCUGGCGGCGUGCUUAACCCAUGCAAGUCGAACGGAAAGGCCCUGCUUUUGUGGGGUGCUCGAGUGGCGAACGGGUGAGUAACACGUGAGUAACCUGCCCUUGACUUUGGGAUAACUUCAGGAAACUGGGGCUAAUACCGGAUAGGAGCUCCUGCUGCAUGGUGGGGGUUGGAAAGUUUCGGCGGUUGGGGAUGGACUCGCGGCUUAUCAGCUUGUUGGUGGGGUAGUGGCUUACCAAGGCUUUGACAGGUAGCCGGCCUGAGAGGGUGACCGGCCACAUUGGGACUGAGAUACGGCCCAGACUCCUACGGGAGGCAGCAGUGGGGAAUAUUGCACAAUGGGCGGAAGCCUGAUGCAGCAACGCCGCGUGCGGGAUGACGGCCUUCGGGUUGUAAACCGCUUUCGCCUGUGACGAAGCGUGAGUGACGGUAAUGGGUAAAGAAGCACCGGCUAACUACGUG
rnacentral:rRNA from 1 species